rnacentral:rRNA from 1 species
UACGUAGGUGGCAAGCGUUGUCCGGAUUUACUGGGCGUAAAGGGCGUGCAGGCGGUUUGUUAAGUGCAGGGUGAAAGCUCCCGGCUCAACUGGGAGAGGUCCUUGCAUACUGGCAAACUCGAGGGAGGCAGAGGAAAGUGGAAUUCCUGGUGUAGCGGUGAAAUGCGCAGAUAUCAGGAGGAACACCUAUGGCGAAGGCAGCUCGCUGGGACGGUACUGACGCUGAGACGCGAAAGCGUGGGGAGCGAACAGG